rnacentral:misc_RNA from 1 species
UUGUUUUGAUUUUUAAUCAUAAUUUAGACAUAAGACACGAUUCAUAAGGGUUUAAGUUGGGCUAUCGGCGGGUGCUGGCCAGGGGGCGCCUCGCGGCGGUCCCCCGGCGGUCGUUAGACGGACCCACCGAAGCAACAAAGGUUCAAUAAACAAAGGGUUGGGAGGUCGGGCCUAGAAGACCCUAACUCGUUAAUGAUCCUUCCGCAGGUUCACCUACGGAAA